rnacentral:rRNA from 1 species
AUUGAACGCUGGCGGCAUGCCUUACACAUGCAAGUCGAACGGCAGCACGGGAGCAAUCCUGGUGGCGAGUGGCGAACGGGUGAGUAAUAUAUCGGAACGUGCCUAGUAGUGGGGGACAACCAGUCGAAAGAUUGGCUAAUACCGCAUACGCACUCUGGUGGAAAGUGGGGGAUCGAAAGACCUCACGCUAUUAGAGCGGCCGAUAUCAGAUUAGGUAGUUGGUGGGGUAAAAGCCUACCAAGCCAACGAUCUGUAGCUGGGCUGAGAGGACGACCAGGCACACUGGGACUGCGACACGGCCCAGACUCCUACGGGAGGCAGCAGUGGGGAAUUUUGGACAAUGGGCGCAAUCCUGAUCCAGCCAUGCCGCGUGUGGGAAGAAGGCCUUCGGGUUGUAAACCACUUUUGUCAGGGAAGAAACGGCUUUGGUUGAAUAGGCAGGUCUGAGGACGUUACCCCAAGAAUAAGCACCGGCUAACUCUGUGCCAGCCGCCGCGGUAA